rnacentral:lncRNA from 1 species
AAAAGAAAAGCUUUCUUUUCUUCACCUGCAGUGCCCACCUGCUCUGUCUCUCACCUGCUCUCUGUCUCUUUGUUCUAUGGUACCCUCCUCUUCAUGUACGUGAGUCAUGGGUCUACACCAGGUGAAAACCAGGAUAAAAUGUAUUCUCUGUUCUACACAGUUGUGAUUCCUCUGCUAAACCCCUUUAUUUACAGCUUAAGAAACAAGGAAGUUUUGUGUGCUUUGAGAAAAGUCAUUAAAUAA